rnacentral:rRNA from 1 species
CCCGGGCUUAACCUGGGAAUGGCGCCUGUGNCUGUAUAGCUAGAGUGUNUCAGAGGGGGGUAGAAUUCCACGUGUAGCAGUGAAAUGCGUAGAUAUGUGGAGGAAUACCAAUGGCGAAGGCAGCCCCCUGGGAUAACACUGACGCUCAUGCACGAAAGCGUGGGGAGCAAACAGGAUUAGAUACCCUGGUAGUCCACGCCCUAAACGAUGCUGACUAGUUGUUCGGGAUUUACAUCCUGAGUAACGUANCUANCGCGUGAAGUCA